rnacentral:lncRNA from 1 species
UUUGGUGUCAUAAUUUGUAUAGCAGCUCUUGUUACUUUGUUACAUAGUCUUGUUUAUCAAACAAAGGAUAGUGUGAGAAUGGAUGAUGCCUGUAGUCAGGGCCGGCCCGGAGAUUUCGAAGACCCAUUGCAAUUUAAUAAAAAUGAGCCCUAAAUUUUGAAAAACCUCAAAGAUUUAAGCAAAAAUAUUAUAAAUUUUAAUUUCCUAUUGCAAAUACAUAAAAUUAAAAUUUCAAUCAAAAUAAUACACAAAAAAGAAAAUGGCUUCUAUAUUAUUGGCUUCUUGGUUCUAGAUUUUCCACACUUCAAAUCACCAAGAGGGUAUCAAAACUGUAAAAAAAAAAAAAAUCGAAAUCAUCUGAUAUGUUUCAUUAUCAGGAAAAAAGCAAAACAAUGAUAUUAUAUCAGAAAUCCGAAAAUGACUUUAUGAUUUUCGAUGCUACAAAUCAGAAUUUACCUUAAUUCCUUGUUCCUUUUGAGUUAUGAUUUACGAAAACUCAUAUCAUUGUUCCUCCGAUUUACUGAUUACUAAUUUGGAAGUAGUAGAAAAAGAAAAAAGAAAAACUGAUCAGAAAUUUGCAGCUUCUGAAAAAAGAAAAAUUGAUCAGGAAAAGAAAGGACAAAACUAAAGUUGAAUGUUACCUUCUGAUUUUGAAACUUCAAGCAGGUAACAAAUCUGAGGCUUCUAAAAUCGUUGGUAAGCUUUGUUAGAACUGAAAUCGUUGGUAAGCUUCAUAGUUUUGAGAAGAAAGAAAAAGAAGUAAGAUUGUUGAUCGCUUGUGUCUUUGAUAUUGGAAUGGAAUCGACUUAUGCUUCCUGUCACCCAUGUGUGCGUUAUUAGUGAUGAAGAAACCAGAAACCAAAGAGUUUUUUUGUUUUCCCAAAAAUUAUCCUGCUCCCUCCUUGCUGCAUCGGUUGAUGGAGCAAUAAAAAAACUAA